UGUAAAUCUACAAUCCGUCCAUCCAGACGUUUCAAGACUCGUUCUGUGUGGGUUGCAAUAGUUAGUUUGAAAUAAUACUGGAUGGAGUAUUAUUUAUGUACUUUUUUCCAUUGUGUAACGUUCUUUUUUAUUUUUUACUGACUUUUUUCAACUUUUCUAAGAAAAGAUCUGUUUCUAAAGAUCAUAUUAUAAAAAAUAAUUUAUAGAAUAACUAUGAUUGGAAAGAAUGAAGAAAGGAAAUAAAGAUUCAAGAGAAGAUGCAUUUCUAGAACUCCUUUUAGUAGAAUUAAUAUAGUAACAAAAGACGAACGAUAUACAAAAGUUUAUCGAAGAACGAGAAUCGAGGAAACUCCACGCGAGAAAAUUUGAAAAUCGUGUUUACCGUGAAAGUUCUCGAAGACGGACGAAAAGUGACAGAAGCUCUUCCACUCGAUGCAAGAUUUGCAAUUUUUUCAAGGCAUUAUAAAGACCAAUUCACAUCAAAACAUCAAGAAAUAAACCAACAUCUUUUAUCCAUCUAAAUUACCCUGAAGACUCACCAGAAAAAGCUUAAAUGACUAUAGUGAUUGCAUGAGGAAGAGGUUCAAGUUGAUUCUAGCUGUGACGAGUAGAAGAAACGUGGAAUGAGGCGAAAAGAAGAACAGGAAGGCUUCAAUCGAGCUGGAACAGGCAGAACAAAAAGGAGAGUGAAAGAAAAGAACGGGGAGAAAGAAAAGUCAGGGAGCAAAAGUGUACGUGUGCAUGAAAGAACUCGAGAGGGAUGGCUCGGUUAUUUAUAGGAUUACAAUAACGUGACUUGAUAAAAUGCCAGGCGACACAGUCUUGCGCCGCGAGAAUAAUUGUGGGUGUACGCACGUGCACCACGCAACAUUAUGGCUUGAUGACUAUGCACACCCUACAGAACAAGAAUUCUACUAUGUUCUGUGUAAACAUUUUUAGAGACAGUUAGCUUAAGUUUAAGCAAUUCUGAAAAUUGUAGAGUAUUUAAAUUUUUUAAUUUUUUAG
rnacentral:lncRNA from 11 species